rnacentral:lncRNA from 1 species
UGUGGGGCAAAAUGAGGUCUCUUAAGUGCUGACGGGCAAAUGGCCUGGGUCCCAUCCUGAAGUGGAAUCCCCAAAGGAAUACAAUGGAUGGAGCUUCCCAUGCCUGGUGGUGACUCACUGUCUCCACAUUACACAUACCUAUUUAUACACAAACACACCACAAGUGUGCCCAUGUGACAUUGCCCACCCCCCACACACCCAAACACACACACAGCCUAUACAUCACACCUCCUGAGUUACAAAAGGCACAACCCUCCUCAAACACACAUCCAUCCUCCGGCACACACCCAGUCCAUGCCUCGCCCCCACACACACCUGACACCCCAGUGCAACACCACACCCACCCUCCCCUCCCUGCAAACUCCCACCUCCGCCCACCUGCUUAAUACACAUUCUCACCCCCCACACACCCCUUAAUACAUACUCUCACACCCACAAGCCUGCCUUCUUGGAGAAGUGAGCCGAGCCGUGCAGCGCCGCGAAGGGGUAAGUUGCAAGCACUGGGGGCAGCCUGUUCUGGGAGGUGAGAAGGAGGGCGGCUCCGUGCACUCACUCGCUAGGCGGUGGCGUUAGAGCUCCCGGGGCUCCAGCAGACCGAUUUAGCUCGGCUGGGGAGGGAGGUGGAGAUGGGGACUGGGGGUGGGGGACGCAGGAGAGGGUAGAAUCCAGCCCCCCAAGCGGCGGAGAUGCUAAUCAGGCCGCUAAGUUGGAAAACAUCCCCGAAAACCGGGAGGAACGCCGCGGGGACCUGUGGCUUAGCGCGCUCCGCCCGGGCUUGUCUGCCCGCGGGGGCGCAGCGGCUGAGGCGGCUCCGGGCCGGAGUUCCAAUCAAGCGCCACCCAACUCCCAGUCGGGGGCCGAGGCCAGCGCCGGGAUGCCAGCUUCUCCCAAAAAGAUCCUGCCUCAGGGAAAUGCAUGGAGCCGGCGGAAAAGCCCGCGGCGCCCCCUGCGGAUCGCAGACCCUAAGGGGGCGGGAGGUGGCGCCCCAGUCCCAACCUCUGGAGCCAACCCAGCGGGUGGGAAGUGCCCGUACCCUAGGCCUUCCGGAGAGUGUUCUCUCCUUGUAUUAUUCUAAUUACGGUAUUUUUAAUUUCCUUAAAAAAAUAAGAAACAGA